GAUGAACGCUAGCGGCAGGCUUAACACAUGCAAGUCGAGGGGCAGCACGAGUAGCAAUACUUGGUGGCGACCGGCGCAAGGGUGCGUAACGCGUGAGCAACAUGCCCGUAUCAGGGGGAUAAUCCAGGGAAACUUGGUCUAAUACCCCAUAGUAAUCAUAUCAGGCAUCUGGUAUGAUUUAAAGCUUAGGUGGAUACGGAUUGGCUCGCGUGACAUUAGCUAGAUGGUAAGGUAACGGCUUACCAUGGCUAUGAUGUCUAGGGGUUCUGAGAGGAAGGUCCCCCACACUGGAACUGAGACACGGUCCAGACUCCUACGGGAGGCAGCAGUAGGGAAUUUUCGGCAAUGGGGGAAACCCUGACCGAGCAAUGCCGCGUGAACGAUGAAGGUCUUCGGAUUGUAAAGCUCUUUCGGACGGAAAGAAAUCGCCGCCUCUAACAUAGGCGGUGGAUGACGGUACCGUAAGAAGAAGCACCGGCUAACUACGUGCCAGCAG
rnacentral:rRNA from 1 species